CGUAACAGCUCACUGGUCUAGUGGUUCCGCGCCGACAAUGUAGCGGGGCUCAAGCACACCACCGAAGACGCGGCAGUAGCUUUGCUACUGGGUAGGAGAGCGUCCCAUGCGGGGCGAAGCGGCGGCGCAAGCCCGCCGUGGACCGCAUGGGAGUGAGAAUGCAGACAUGAGUAGCGAAAGACGGGUGAAGAUCCCGUCCGCUGGACGACCAAGGGUUCCAGGGCCACGUUCAUCGUCCCUGGGUGAGUCGGGUCCUAAGGCGAGGCCGACAGGCGUAGUCGAAUGGAUGAACGGGUCGAUAUUCCCGUACCGGCAUGCAACCGACAAAACCGAAUCCGCGAGUACUAACCUCCGGGUCCGGGCUUACGUCUCCUUCGGGAGCCGGAUGCCCUGGCCUGUUGGGACCGUAACGGUAGUAGGUCAGCGCGGGAGUGACGCAGAAGGGUAGCCGGCCGCGGAGGUGGUCUUCCGUGGUCAAGCACGCAGCCCGUCCCACAGGCAAAUCCGUGGGGCGCGUGGGCGAGGUGCGAUGAUGGGCGCCGCAGGGCGCGAUAUCCGGUGAUCCCGGCUGCCGAGAAAAGCUUCGGCGUGAGGCGGCGUGCCGCCCGUACCCCAAACCGACACUGGUGGUCAGGUAGAGAAUACCAAAGCGAUCGAGCGAAUCCUGGUCAAGGAACUCGGCAAAUCACUCCCGUUCCUUCGGUUUAAGGGAGACCCCCGAUGGUGAAGCGGCUUGCCCGUGGAGCUUUUGGGGGUGGCACAGACCAGGGGGUAGCGACUGUUUACCAAAAACACAGGAGCGUGCGAAGGCGCAAGCCGCUGUAUACGCUCUGACGCCUGCCCGGUGCCGGAAGGUUAAGAGGAUCCGUCAGGCUUCGGCCGAAGCGGUGAAUUCAAGCCCCGGUAAACGGCGGUGGUAACUAUAACCAUCCUAAGGUAGCGAAAUUCCUUGUCGGGUAAGUUCCGACCUGCACGAAUGGCGUAACGACUUCCCCACUGUCUCGACCAGGAGCUCGGCGAAAUUGCAGUACGAGUAAAGAUGCUCGUUAAGCGCAGAAGGACGAAAAGACCCCGGGACCUUUACUAUACCUUGGUAUUGGCAUUCGGUGUGGAUUGUGUAGCAUAGGCGGAAGGCUUCGAAGCCACGGCGCCAGCCGCGGUGGAGCCGCAAGGUGAAAUACCGCUCUGUUCGCAUUGGAUGUCUAACCUCGACCAGUCAUCCUGGUCAGGGACAGUGCCUGGCGGGUAGUUUAACUGGGGCGGUUGCCUCCCAAAGAGUAACGGAGGCGCUCAAAGGUUCCCUCAGCCCGGUUGGCAAUCGGGUGGCGAGUGUAAGUGCACAAGGGAGCUUGACUGCGAGACUGACGGGUCGAGCAGGGACGAAAGUCGGAACUAGUGAUCCGGUGCCGGUGUACGGACGCGGCAUCGCUCAACGGAUAAAAGGUACCCCGGGGAUAACAGGCUGAUCAUU
rnacentral:rRNA from 1 species